rnacentral:sRNA from 1 species
GCUCCUUCUUCAGAUGCCAUGGUUCACCCUUGUGGGUCCGGUUACCCAGCUCCUCACCCACUUGCUCGGGACCUAUAUUUAAACACGGCCAGCAUGGAAUGAGUACAUGUCUCCCUAGUUCCCCAACCCAGAAGGUUUCUCCGAGAGCUAGGGUGUCGUCGGUGAGACGUUAUCUAAUUUGCCUCCUGUCUGAAUUGCAGAAAACAUCUUCAAUACUCGAUUUCUCACGGGAUAAUUGGGUCACAUCCCGAGAGCUCAGCUGGACUGCACUAACCUCUGCUGCCUUGGAAUGCUGUGCUCCGCUACUGGUUUUCUCAAAGACUCUGGAAAAGACAGCACGGUGCUCUCCUAUAGUGUGCAUACUCUAAGUGGCAAGCUUCUGAGUUUCAAGCUUCCUGCUUCUUCAGCUCUUAACAAACCUGCUUGGAAGCUAUCGAGAAAGAUUAUGGGACAUGCGAGUGAAUUUGCAAGUGCUUACUGGUGCCGCCCAGGUCAUACUGAAGAGGAACAGUCCAACAGACACAGCCUGCAUCGUCACACGGCUCUCUGAAAGAUAGCAAGAACCUGUCUGAGCAGUGCCAGCUAUGCAUUGCAGACUCGAAGGCAUGUACAUGCAGACAACCCUCCCGCAUAAGUUCAUUUCCCUUUGAUAUAUAGAAUUACAUCCCUCAUAUGUACAUCCUAUCGAAUUAGCAUUUGCAUAAAUGUAUGUGCUUUUCACAAUUAGUUCAUAGUCAGGGUUAAUCUAUUAAUCUCUAUUUCAUUGCUGAUUACUCUCGUGCAAAAAUAAAAAUAUUGACUAUAAUUAAUCCAAUAA